GGGGAGGUUCUUCUCUAACCGAAGCAAGGAACAAAGCAACAAAAGAAAUAUAUAUUUUUCAAGUACUGAUGAUGGAACCGCGUUGAGUUGUCUCGCAACACUGACCACCAAUCCUUCAAGCAAUGGAGAUUCAACAAUCUUUUACAAAGAUAGAAAUUACUGGUCACUUUUGACUUUGAAAUCCUCCCUUUGGUAAGUGAAGCCAGAACCAUUAACUGGCAUGAUAAUUAACGAAGGAUCGAUGAGAUAUUGCCCCAGCUCAGGCGCCCUCAUGUGAUCAUGCAACGACGUCCUGGACGGUGAGUGGCCUGAUCUUCCACAGGUUCCACGCCAUGUCGCUUUCAUUCCCAAUACCAUAUAUAUAAUUUUCGUUUAUGGAAUCUUCCACAGGGCUUACGGGUUUAAUUAUGCGUCCAAGACCAUCUCACUGACUAGCUAGUAACAUCGGACUCUUAUGGCUUAGCAGAGUGAAUUCCUGUAUUAACUUGGUGCUUGGAAGAGGAUGACUGUGUCAUAUAUUUCAAUUGAAGCAAAAAAUGAGAGAAAAAUAAUUAAAGGUCAUGAUGAGUGAGAAAGCUACAGGACACGAUCGAAGUCUCUCUCAAAAAUAGCUGGAGAAACGGGCUUGUGUUGAGCUAGCUGGCAGUGCUCGUAAAUGAAGAAUGGAUAGAGCAGCAAUUGCAUGCUGGAGAAUAUUACAGUUGGUGCAUGGUUCCAUUACCCUCCCUUUCAAGGUAUGGCCAUCAAUACAGCC
rnacentral:lncRNA from 1 species